CCCCUCCCGACCCCAAAGUGGCGCGCCCAAGAACCAAACGGGCGGUGCGUCGUCGGAGGAGGAAGACGAGGAGGAGCAGAAAGGAACUCGCUUUUGCUGCCGCGCGCGGUGGCCGGUGGUGCGUUGCGCUUGCGCGUGGGGUAACCGUGGUGGUGGUAGCGUAUGACGCGUGAGUGCACAGUGGCGGUGGUGGUGGUGGUCGUGCCGCCUGGUUGGAGCCACUGCUACUGUUAUAUAUACUGCCAUUGCUUUGAUGCCAACCUAGCCCUCCUUCCUCACU
rnacentral:lncRNA from 1 species